UGCGCUACAGUUCCUGGUCUCUCCU
rnacentral:piRNA from 1 species